CGCCCUCUUUAAGAUUUGCAAAAGAUGCCUGGCAACAACAACAAUGAAGAAGCUCAUUUAGGAGUACUGCCAUUGAACUGGGAGAGAGCUGAAACUCAAGAAGGAAUACCAUACUAGAUUAUAAGAAUCACAGCAAUGGAAGAACACAAUGGGAGCAUCCACUACUGACAGAACUAUUCAAGGAACUAAGGCACCAGAUAUCUAGUACAUAGAUUUUGGUCACAUUUCAUCAAUAAUGAAAAGGAGAAAAUUUUCCAUUUUUGU